UAUCCACGCUGCUAUUUAAAGAACUCAAUCGAUUCGGUACGUUAUACAUAACUUCCACGUUGGACAUUUUGUAAUUUGGGUUGAACAAUGACGAUGUGUAAGAUACACGUUAACCUAGAAGGAAAUCAUCACUGAUAUAUGAAGAAGUAAAGUCAACAAUGACAGACAAAAAAUUGUGUUCUGGAUGUUUACGAGAUGACGAAAAAAUCGAGGCUGAAGCAUGGUGUAAUGACUGCCUAGAAGAAGUUUGUAAGACAUGCGCAAAGGUACACAGAAAAUUUAAU